rnacentral:ncRNA from 2 species
AGUAACUCGCUGGGGUGCGGCCAUUAGCGUCGCUGAGAAACACCCAUUGAACCUGAACCAGGUAAUUCUGGCGUAGGAAGUGAGACAUCGCAACAU